rnacentral:tRNA from 1 species
GCCUUCGUGGUGUAAUUGGCAGCACACUCGGCGCGUAUUCGAGAGGUCCGAGGUUCGAGUCCUGGCGAGAGCA